GUUUGAUUCUGGCUCAGGAUGAACGCUAGCGGCAGGCCUAAUACAUGCAAGUCGAACGGUGUCUUCGGACAUAGUGGCGCACGGGUGCGUAACACGUAUGCAACCUACCUUACAUUGGGGGAUAGCCUUUCGAAAGGGAGAUUAAUACCGCAUAAGACAGUAGUUGGGCAUCCAGUAGCUGUUAAAGAUUUAUCGAUGUAAGCUGGGCAUGCGUCCAAUUAGCUAGUUGGUGAGGUAACGGCUCACCAAGGCGAUGAUUGGUAGGGGAACUGAGAGGUCAAUCCCCCACACUGGCACUGAGAUACGGGCCAGACUCCUACGGGAGGCAGCAGUAGGGAAUAUUGGGCAAUGGACGCAAGUCUGACCCAGCCAUGCCGCGUGCAGGAUGAAGGCGUUAUGCGUUGUAAACUGCUUUUAUACAGGAAGAAACGACUCUUGCGAGAGGCAUUGACGGUACUGUAUGAAUAAGCACCGGCUAACUCCGUGCCAGCAGCCGCGGUAAUACGGAGGGUGCAAGCGUUGUCCGGAUUUAUUGGGUUUAAAGGGUGCGCAGGUGGUUUAUUAAGUCAGUGGUGAAAGACGGUCGCUCAACGAUUGCAGUGCCAUUGAUACUGGUAGACUUGAGUAAAGUAGAGGUGGGCGGAAUUGAUAGUGUAGCGGUGAAAUGCAUAGAUAUUAUCAAGAACUCCAAUUGCGUCGGCAGCUCACUUGGCUUUUACUGACACUCAUGCACGAAAGUGUGGGUAUCAAACAGGAU
rnacentral:rRNA from 1 species